rnacentral:rRNA from 1 species
UACGUAGGGUCCAAGCGUUAAUCGGAAUUACUGGGCGUAAAGCGUGCGCAGGCGGUGCUGUAAGACAGAUGUGAAAUCCCCGGGCUUAACCUGGGAACUGCAUUUGUGACUGCAGCGCUAGAGUGUGUCAGAGGGAGGUAGAAUUCCACGUGUAGCAGUGAAAUGCGUAGAGAUGUGGAGGAAUACCGAUGGCGAAGGCAGCCUCCUGGGAUAACACUGACGCUCAUGCACGAAAGGCGUGGGGAGCGAAACAGG